rnacentral:rRNA from 1 species
UACGGAGGAUGCAAGCGUUAUCCGGAAUCAUUGGGCGUAAAGCGUCCGUAGGUGGCGUUUCAAGUCUGCGGUCAAAGCACAAGGCUUAACCUUGUAAAGGCCGUGGAAACUGGAAGAGCUAGAGUGCGGUAGGGGUAGAGGGAAUUCCCAGUGUAGCGGUGGAAUGCGUAGAGAUCGGGAAGAACACCCGUGGCGAAGGCGGUGUGCUGGGUUGCAACUGACGCUGAGAUGCGAAAGUGUGGGUAGCAAACGGG